rnacentral:rRNA from 1 species
UUGACCUCGGAUCAGGUAGGAGUUACCCGCUGAACUUAAGCAUAUCAAUAAGCGGAGGAAAAGAAACCAACCGGGAUUGCCUCAGUAACGGCGAGUGAAGCGGCAAGAGCUCAAAUUUGAAAUCUGGCCCCCUCGGGGUCCGAGUUGUAAUUUGCAGAGGAUGCUUCGGGUGCGGUCCCCAUCUAAGUGCCCUGGAACGGGCCGUCAUAGAGGGUGAGAAUCCCGUCUGGGAUGGGCGGCCGCGCCCGUGUGAAGCUCCUUCGACGAGUCGAGUUGUUUGGGAAUGCAGCUCUAAGCGGGUGGUAAAUUUCAUCUAAAGCUAAAUACUGGCCGGAGACCGAUAGCGCACAAGUAGAGUGAUCGAAAGAUGAAAAGCACUUUGAAAAGAGAGUUAAACAGCACGUGAAAUUGUUGAAAGGGAAGCGUUGUCCACCAGACUCGCCCGGGGGGGUUCAGCCGGCACGUGUGCCGGUGUACUCCUCUCCGGGCGGGCCAGCAUCGGUUUGGGCGGCUGGUGAAAGGCCCCGGGAAUGUACCACCCUCCGGGGUGUCUUAUAGCCCGGGGUGCCAUACAGCCAGCCUGGACCGAGGCCCGCGCUUCGGCGGAGGAUGC